GGCUCGUUGGUCUAGGGGUACGAUUCCUGCUUCGGGUGCAGGAGGUCCCGGGUUCAAAUCCCGGACGAGCCC
rnacentral:tRNA from 1 species